rnacentral:lncRNA from 1 species
AUGACACCUGCUCACCAUGGCUCCCUUUGGUUUACAGGAAAAACCAUUUUUUCCCCGCAGCCCAGAUGCAGACAGAUGUCUCCUGAGGUCGGUGCCUUAGAGGUGAAUCCUGCAGCUCCAUCAGUGUACAGUUGCUCACCGUGGCCCCUUGGAGCAGCCCACAUGGCUCCUCUGCAGGCAUGUGGCCUUGAAGCCAGCCAGAGAAGCUCCUGGCACAUCUUCCUCUUGAAGGUGGGGAUGAGAGAGGAGGAGGCUGCAGUAAUCGAGCUGACAAAACUUUUUGUCUACUGUCUCAGCGGGCUCCAGAGAGGGCUGAGGAGUGCCAAGUUCUCUGCCUGGCCCUGUCCCAUGUGGUGGCAUCUUUCCAACACAGCUCAGGAGCCUCUUCUUGAGGAUCGAUUUUGA